rnacentral:tRNA from 1 species
GAAAAUGAUGGUUUAACCCCUUCCCUUAUGU